UUAGGGGUGUGGGGUGGGAGAAGCAUGUGUGGUAUUAAACCCUAAACUGCUCCCUGUAUACAGGGUUGUUACAAAAACUGAGGUGGUUUUCCGGUGUUUUCCCUCGUGUUAAAUGAGAAACACCGAUGCCCUGCACGCAUGAGUCUCCCACUGUUGAUAAAGUUUACCCACGAGUUGGCUUGUAGGGAGUGCUGCCGGCAUAGACCAAUGCUCCGCGGUUCACUGAUCAUUAGAUCAUCCUCGCCUUCUCAAGCACCUCUUUUUUU
rnacentral:telomerase_RNA from 1 species